GGGGACACUCUGUGCCGACGUGUGGAUGGAACGCCCCCGAGUAUUACACGAGUAAUUACGCUGCCCCCGACUACUACACUGAAGCUCCAAAGUACUACACCAUCAAUGCACAACCAUUUCGCGACCAUGGUUAAUCUUUGCGUCGUGUUGCUGUUGGGGUUCUAUCGUUGGUAGCGGGUCGACUAUUGCAUUCUUCCAAUCCUUAAUCAUAGUAAGCUGUGGCGUCGUGCUGCUGUUGGGUUUUGUAUCGUUGAUGGCUGAACCGACCACUGGUGUACCGAUAUCUCCUGAGAAUGGUGGAUGCGAAAUCGCAACGCCGUCGCCUAACCAUGACAACACAGGCAACAACCAGUUACUUCACCAAAGCAUCGGAGGACUACACCAAAACCUGUUCUGCUCCAGCUUGAUGUCUUGAGACUACCUAAAGUUACUCCGCUCCCAGCUACUACACCGAGGCUCCAGCUUGCUACACCACCGAAGCAUCGGAUUAUUACACACCUACCCACGCUGAUCCAGUCUCCUACACAGAGUAUCCCAAGCGUAAACAACCAGGGCAUCGGCGUACUGCACGACUACGUAUGCUGCCCAUGCUGACUACACCAAGGCUCCCAAGUGAUCUCUGCUCAGUUACUACACCGAGGCACCAAAAUUCUACUCUGCCCCCAGCUGCACACUCGCAACUGAGCCGGCCAACUAUUACGCAGCACCUACAAACCACUGCUUCUCCGACCUACUACACCGAAGUAUUACUCUGCCCCGAAUUACUACAUCAGUAAGGCACUUGAAAGUUAUACUAUAAUGUGAAAUGUAAAAUUUUGGUUUUAUGUUUAUGUGGUCAAAUCUUAAUAGUUAUU